CCAAUAGCGUAUAUUAAAGUUGUUGCAGUUAAAAAGCUCGUAGUUGAAUUUCGGGAUUGACGUGACGGUCAUGCCUUAAGGGGUAUGAACUGUUGCAGUUGAUUUCUCACCUUCUGGAGAAACUUGAUGUCCUUUAUUGGGUGUCUUGCGGAUCCAGGACCUUUACCUUGAAAAAAUUAGAGUGUUUAAAGCAGGCAUUUUUGCUCGAAUACAUUAGCAUGGAAUAAUAGAAUAGGACGGCAUGGUUCUAUUUUGUUGGUUUCUAGGAUCACCGUAAUGAUUAAUAGGGAUAGUUGGGGGCAUUAGUAUUCAAUUGUCAGAGGUGAAAUUCUUGGAUUUAUUGAAGACUAACUACUGCGAAAGCAUUUGCCAAGGAUGUUUUCAUUAAUCAAGAACGAAAGUUAGGGGAUCGAAGACGAUCAGAUACCGUCGUAGUCUUAACCAUAAACUAUGCCGACUAGGAAUCAGACGAUGUUAAUUUUUUAAUGACUCGUUUGGCACCUUACG
rnacentral:rRNA from 1 species